AAAACUGCAGAGGAAAUCAGUUCGAGCUUAGCUGCCACCAAGAAACAACACCCAAACAACCAAACUCUAAUUUUCCACAAAAAUCUGCUGAAAUGAAGGUCUGCGCCCAAUUGGUGAUCUUGGCAGCCGUUGCUGUCGCUGUUUUUUCAGCCCCAGAUUUCGUUGAAUUUUUUUCCUGGUGGGAGGGUUCCCAGGAUUGAAGCUAUAUUCCCACGUUGAACUGCAAUGCUUAAUCGCUGGAGGAGAUAAUUUCUAAUCUAAAUUACAUGUAAAAUUAGAAAAUAUUUACAAAAUUUUACUUUUUACAACCUCAAUUCAGGCUAACUGGCCAGAGGUUGAACGUUUGGCUGCUGAGCUCCACACCCUGGUAAGCACUUCCAUCCUCACCAUCCGAACCACUGCUAACGACGACAAUCCUACCGUUGGUCAAACGAUUGGGGAAAAACUGGACGCUGCCAGCGUUGAAGCCACCGUAAUUCUCGAAGCUGCUAUGCAGGAGAUUGCUGAUCGAACCUUAACUGUUCCUACUGCCCAGGGAUAUCUGCAGGGUCUGCAGGCCCUUCUUAUGCAACUCCAACAGGAUUUGCAGGCUGAUGUUAACCAACUUUCUCUCAACGCCCAGAACACCAUUCGUAGUACGUUUGCCUCUGCUUACAACAGGGCUGAAGAAAUUGCUUAUGCGAUUUAUGCAGCGCUUGAAGCAUAAUUGAAUCAAUGUGCUUUUUCGCAGAUCAAAUCAAACUAACGUCUAUUUCUUGUAAAAAAAUAUAAAUUUUUCUGAAAUUGAAAUAAAUUCUGUCAACUUGUAAACUUAA